GGCCUGUUAACUCAGCUGGUUAGAGCGUGGUGCUAAUAACGCCAAGGUCGUGGGUUCGAUCCCCACAUGGGCCA
rnacentral:tRNA from 1 species